GCUUUAUUUCUUUCUGGUGAUAUACAUAAAGGCAUUUAUAUUUACAUCUGCUGUUUAUUUCCUUUAUGUUCGACAGCUAUUAUACAAGAUCGGCAAGGCGCUAACCAGAACGCUCAUAUCCCAUUCCGUUCGCGCCUACAUUGUGACGCAGUACUUCAUGUAAACCUUUUAUAGCGCUUGGGGGCAAGGCAGUGAAUAUAUUUCGUUAUUAUGGCAAACAACAGUCAGGUUGUGCAUACUAUUUAAAGAACAUACAGCCCACGCUCUGCGUGUAGCCCGCAUCCAGCCUUAGUAUGCACCAACCCUAACCUUCCUUUAAAAUGGGAAGGAAGGAAAGAAUGGCGCGCGAAAUCCCUUUAAUUCGUAUACAUAACCGUAAACUAUUGUCCAUUUUUGGCUCUUAAUGUAUUUCAUUCGAGUAAAAUUUGUAUAGUCAUGAAGAAUACUUGUUAUAUAGUCAGUGUCAAAGUUCAAUUUUUCUGUUUGCCGAUUGGUCAAAACCGUAUCACGUGCCGGUCUACAAAACGCCAUGUUCACUGCGUGCUUUGCCAAGGAAGCAACCGGUCCACAAUGAAAGAUUUAUCGACC
rnacentral:lncRNA from 1 species